UCCCGAACUCUAGGUAGAAACCCUAGGGUACACACCAAAAACCCUGCAUCCAAUUUUCUCUCUUUUCUUUCUUUUUCUCUCGAAAGGUUUUGGACCUUCACCUUGCGCAGAAGCCUUCCUCAUGCCCCAAAGUUUUUCUCCUAUAAUUUCUAUGCACGUCCCACCUUUCUCCUCUUUUUAAAACAACAUCGAACGUGUCUUAUCCACGUGAGAGGAUAAAGACAAGAGGUUACACAUUUGAAUUCAAAUCAAAUUUGAAUUCAAACAAAAACCAACUUAUCCCUAUCCUUUUGG
rnacentral:lncRNA from 1 species